GCCUUGGGUUCUGCGUGGAGACGUUUGGGCCCCUGUUCUGGAGUCACGUCGACUCCUUUCUACACAACUUCCGUGACAACAAACAUGUCCUGUUCCGGCCUCCCACUGACCGCCUGAUGGCCAGGGGCCGCUCCCAGCCACCCUCGGACCCUGGAGAAGGUCCGGUGCCUCCUCAGGAGCAGGAAGACCUGGGAGAGGGAGGCAGAGUCUUGCAGGGCCUAGACUCUGCUGCUGAUUUGAAGUUGGGAUAUUUUCCCUGCCAACUUUUGACCCCAAUGUCUGCAUCAUUCUGCCCCAAUGAUGAGGGUGAGGAUCAGUAUGAAAACACUGAUGAAGAGGAAGAGGAUGGAAAUGAAAAACCUGAAGGACUCUAAAUGGAUGUGGUCUCAGCAAAGAGCAGCUCUGGAUAAUACAGGUAUUGUUGUAUAGGCUUUAGUACGACAUAACCAUUCCUGACACAUAC
rnacentral:lncRNA from 1 species